rnacentral:rRNA from 1 species
CAGCCGUAAACUAUGCUCGCUAGGUGUCAGGCAUGGCGCGACCGUGUCUGGUGCCGCAGGGAAGCCGUGAAGCGAGCCACCUGGGAAGUACGGCCGCAAGGGCUGAAACUUAAAGGAAUUGGCGGGGGAGCACAACAACGGGUGGAGCCUGCGGUUAAUUGGACUCAACGCCGGACAACUCACCGGGGACGACAGCAAUAUGUAGGCCAGGCUGAAGACCUUGCCUGAAUCGCUGAGAGGAGGUGCAUGGCGUAGACGUCU